UACGUAGGUGGCAAGCGUUAUCCGGAUUUAUUGGGCGUAAAGAGAACGCAGGCGGUCUCUUAAGUCUGAUGUGAAAGCCUUCGGCUUAACCGGAGUAGUGCAUUGGAAACUGGGAGACUUGAGUGCAGAAGAGGAGAGUGGAACUCCAUGUGUAGCGGUGAAAUGCGUAGAUAUAUGGAAGAACACCAGUGGCGAAAGCGGCUCUCUGGUCUGUAACUGACGCUGAGGUUCGAAAGCGUGGGUAGCAAACAGG
rnacentral:rRNA from 1 species